ACGAAGGAUGCAAGCGUUAUCCGGAUUCAUUGGGUUUAAAGGGUGCGUAGGCGGACCUGUAAGUCAGUGGUGAAAUCUCUUUGCUUAACAAAGAAACUGCCAUUGAUACUGCAAGUCUAGAGUAUAGAUGACGUUGGCGGAAUAUGACAUGUAGUGGUGAAAUACUUAGAUAUGUCAUAGAACACCGAUUGCGAAGGCAGCUAACGAAACUAUAACUGACGCUGAGGCACGAAAGUGCGGGGAUCAAACAGG
rnacentral:rRNA from 1 species